GAUGAACGCUGGCGGCGUGCCUAAUACAUGCAAGUCGAGCGAACAGACGAGGAGCUUGCUCCUCUGACGUUAGCGGCGGACGGGUGAGUAACACGUGGAUAACCUACCUAUAAGACUGGGAUAACUUCGGGAAACCGGAGCUAAUACCGGAGAAUAUAUUGAACCGCAGGGUUCAAUAGUGAAAGACGGUUGUGCUGUCACUUAUAGAGGGAUCCGCGCCGCAUUAGCUAGUUGGUAAGGUAACGGCUUACCAAGGCAACGAUGCGUAGGCGAACUGAGAGGGUGAUCGGCGACACUGGAACUGAGACACGGUCCAGACUCCUAAGGGAGGCAGCAGUAGGGAAUGUUCCGCAAUGGGCGAAAGCCUGACGGAGUAACGCCGCGUGAGUGAUGAAGGUCCUCGGAUCGUAAAACUCUGUUAUUAGGGAAGAACAAAUGUGUAAGUAAAUAUGCACGUCUUGACGGUACCUAAUCAGAAAGCAACGGCUAACUACGUG
rnacentral:rRNA from 1 species